rnacentral:tRNA from 1 species
AGAAGCUUAGGUUCACCUAAACCGAAGGCCUUCAAAGCCUUAAACAAGAGUUAGACCCUCUUAGUUUCUG